CCACAAUUGGUUCCCAUUAAAUAAUAAAGGCUCUAGAUGGCUAUUUUGGGCCUUAAUAUGUCUUCAAAGAAUCUUGGAAUUAUUCCCAAAAGAAAAAAAAUGCUUUCUUUAUGGAAUAUAUUCUUUUCUUGAGCUUCUAUUGUACACAACAUUUUUCCAAGCCAAUUCUCUGCCUCAUUUCUGCUGAUAAACUACUCAUUUUACAAUGCAAUAAUCCGAAUCUCUCUAGGCACUAGAUUUAGACACCUUCUUGGUUAGAUAUGGCUACUUUAUGUUAAUACUGUCCUUAUUUUCUUAAUUAUAUGUUUUAAUGCUUAUUUCGUUCAAGAACCUGAAAUCAUUUUGUAAAUCUCUGUAGAGAUAAAAUAUUGAAGAUAUGAAGUGCCUAUUAUUCUAGUUGUGUGGCUUUUAAACUUCUGAUUUCACACUUUCAUCUUUUACUUUUCUAAACUAUUAAGCUCUCCAUCCGUAAAUGAAUAUGAUAUUUUGAAUCGGCACUGGAUUUUAUGUGGAAGUUGAAAAGGUAGAGGUUGUCUACCUUCUCCUGUUAACCCUUUGAACUAAUUGCAAAGAGAUUAUGUCAGUCACGUUAACAUUAUAUACAAAAUUCCAAAAAUGAAAUAGGAACUUUCAGUCAUGUAUAGGAAAUAUUUAAGAAAAUACAAUCCAUUCCUCUCUUACUUAAAUUGAAAUCCUGUGAGUUCUGUACUCCAUUCUGCUUUUAUUGUCAUUGUUUGACAUCCUCACAUCAUAUUCUUGUAACAACAUUUUAUAUGUAAUAAUCAGUUUCCUG
rnacentral:lncRNA from 1 species